AUUGCACGCUGGCGGCAUGCCUAACACAUGCAAGUCGAACGAGUGGCGGACGGGUGAGUACUGUCUGGGAAACUGCCUGAUGGAGGGGUAUAACUACUGGAAACGGUGGCUAAUACCGCAUACCAUCAGAUGUGCCCAGAUGGGUUUAGCUUGUUGGUGUGGUAACGGCUCACCAAGGCGACGAUCCCUAGCUGAUCUGAGAGGAUGACCAGCCACACUGGAACUGAGACACGGUCCAGACUCCUACGGGAGGCAGCAGUGGGGAAUAUUGCACAAUGGGCGAAAGCCUGAUGCAGCCAUGCCGCGUGUGUGAAGAAGGCUUUCGGGUUGUAAAGUACUUUCAGCGGGGAGGCGGUACCCGCAGAAGAAGCACCGGCUAACUCCGUGCCAGCAGCCGCGGUAAUUC
rnacentral:rRNA from 1 species